AGCGGACGCUGGCGGCAGGCCUAACACAUGCAAGUCGAACGAACUCUUCGGAGUUAGUGGCGGACGGGUGAGUAACACGUGGGAACGUGCCUUUAGGUUCGGAAUAACUCAGGGAAACUUGUGCUAAUACCGAAUGUGCCCUUCGUGGGUAAGAUUUAUCGCCUUUAGAGCGGCCCGCGUCUGAUUAGCUAGUUGGUGAGGUAAAGGCUCACCAAGGCGACGAUCAGUAGCUGGUCUGAGAGGAUGAUCAGCCACAUUGGGACUGAGACACGGCCCAAACUCCUACGGGAGGCAGCAGUGGGGAAUCUUGCGCAAUGGGCGAAAGCCUGACGCAGCCAUGCCGCGUGAAUGAUGAAGGUCUUAGGAUUGUAAAAUUCUUUCACCGGGGACGAUAAUGACGGUACCCGGAGAAGAAGCCCCGGCUAACUUCGUGCCAGCCGCCGCAGUAA
rnacentral:rRNA from 1 species